rnacentral:rRNA from 1 species
UAGUAACGGCGAGUGAAGCGGGAUGAGCUCAAGCUUAAAAUCUCUGUGCAGGUUCUGCAUGGCGAAUUGUAGUCUAUGGAGGCGAUGUCAGUGCGGUUGUGCGGGAUAAGUUCCUUGGAAGAGGACAGCAUCGAGGGUGAUACUCCCGUAUGUGCCUGUACAGCUGCGCGUACGACACGUUUUCUUUGAGUCGCGUUGUUUGGGAAUGCAGCGCAAAGUAGGUGGUAAAUUCCAUCUAAAGCUAAAUAUUGGUGCGAGACCGAUAGCGAACAAGUACCGUGAGGGAAAGAUGAAAAGAACUUUGAAAAGAGAGUUAAAGAGUACCUGAAACUGCUGAAAGGGAAUCGAAUCGUUUCCAGUGUCUAUAAUCCAUGACAUAUUUCAUUGGCGCGUGAAUGCGUGCAGCGUUUUGGAAGUGGGUUUCCUCUCCUGGCGUUGUUGUGCGUUUGCUUGCUGGUGCCCUGUGUUGUGGUGGGACGUCAGAGUCAGUUCGUAUGCCGCGGGAAAUGGCUGUCAGGGAGGUAGGUCGCUUCGGUGAUUGUUAUAGCCUGGCAGUUAGUAGUCGUGGUUGGGACUGAGGUGCCUACAACGCGCUUUCGAGUCUGCGGGACUCUCGUCUGGUUGCCUGCUUGGACAGCUUGCUGUGCUAGUGGUCACAUCGGGCGAUUGAGAUCUGUAGUAACUUGUUGCCGU